rnacentral:rRNA from 1 species
UGAGCUCAAAUUUAAAAUCUGGUGUCCUUUGGGCAUCCGAGUUGUAGUCUAGAGAAGUGUUUUCCGUGUUGGACCAUGUACAAGUCUCCUGGAACGGAGCGUCAUAGAGGGUGAGAAUCCCGUUCUUGACAUGGACCCCCAAUGCUAUGUGAUGCACUCUCAAAGAGUCGAGUUGUUUGGGAUUGCAGCUCAAAAUGGGAGGUAAAUUCCUUCUAAAGCUAAAUAUUGGCGAGAGACCGAUAGCGAA